AAAUUGAAGAGUUUGAUCAUGGCUCAGAUUGAACGCUGGCGGCAGGCCUAACACAUGCAAGUCGAACGGUAACAGGAAUCAGCUUGCUGAUUCGCUGACGAGUGGCGGACGGGUGAGUAAUGUCUGGGAAACUGCCUGAUGGAGGGGGAUAACUACUGGAAACGGUAGCUAAUACCGCAUAACGUCGCAAGACCAAAGAGGGGGACCUUCGGGCCUCUUGCCAUCGGAUGUGCCCAGAUGGGAUUAGCUAGUAGGUGGGGUAACGGCUCACCUAGGCGACGAUCCCUAGCUGGUCUGAGAGGAUGACCAGCCACACUGGAACUGAGACACGGUCCAGACUCCUACGGGAGGCAGCAGUGGGGAAUAUUGCACAAUGGGCGCAAGCCUGAUGCAGCCAUGCCGCGUGUAUGAAGAAGGCCUUCGGGUUGUAAAGUACUUUCAGCGGGGAGGAAGGGAGUAAAGUUAAUACCU
rnacentral:rRNA from 1 species